rnacentral:tRNA from 1 species
GGGGUCGUGGCUCAGUGGUAGAGCACUCAUCUAAUAUGUGUGAGGCACUGGUUCAAUCCUCAGCACCA